AUGUGUCUUAGAAACGUUUCACUUACAGGCUUGGACUACUCUGCAGGUGACGUGAAAAGGAUCAAGGACAAGAGUAAAGGAAAGGUUGGAGGAGAGAAACAUAGCAUUGAAUCUCAGGACCACAAAUGCAGAACGACACAGGAAAAAGAAAAAGACAUUAAACAAAGACCUAACUCGGUCUCCCCUGAGGAGCAAGCAAAGGAGACCCAGCAGAAAGAGAAGAAGAAGAGCAUCCAUCCAGCUGUGGCGGCCCUGCAGCUGUUCACUCUCUUCUGCUGUGGUGGGAAAGUCAAGCUGAGGAAGACUCGUCCCUCUCAGAACAGACAGAGUAGAAAGGACCAGGACAAAGAUAAUGCAUCUGAUACUGGUUCAGACUUGUCUGGAGGUGAUGUUACAACCAAAAGGGUCAAGGACAAGAGAAAUGGAAAGGAAAAUCAAAGGACACCCCGGCAAGUGAAGACCCCUGUGGAGGAAAUUUACAUAAGACCUGACUCUCCGACUCUACCACGUGCCCACAGCUCCCUCUCUCAAUUUUCCCUGGCUCGGAACCUGGCCAUCCUCCCGCUGGAGUGGCAGCUACCCGGAGUCCCUCUGCCCACCUCGUCUAUGGCAACUAGGACAGAGAGAACGCCAUCCUCUACCAACACUUCGACACAUGCGCAGAUGGAAACACAGACAUUAAAUAUGAACACAGACACACAGACCACUUCUACCUCUCAGAGCCAGAUCUCCAUGGUCUCAUCGGAGACCAUGAUAGAUCUUCACACGUCAGACUCCAUUACCCAGACCUCCACUCUUGACAUGGCACUGACCCCUGAGAGCACUAAGGACAUGAUCACUACUGAUGAGGAUGUGAAGGAUGACUCUGCUAAAGAUUUGAUCUCCACCCUAACAGACACCUCUAUGGAGAAAUCCAUCAGUGAGACCAGCCUGAAAGACCUCAUUGCUGAGUAUGAAGAUGACAAUGAGCUGAAGGAUAUGGCUGCCUCCGCUACCCCUGCUACUGAUAAUGCCAGUGAGGAUGCAAUGCUGCUGGAGAUUGCAGCACUUUUUGACUGAUUACAUGUUGACAGUGGAGACCGAGCUGCCUCUGCAUCUCUGAAGAGCCAAUAGACCUAAUGAACAUUUCAAUGUAGCAAAAGCUAUACUUUGAUCAAUUAAUAAAACAUUUUUUCUGCAGCAAAUUUUCACUACAGUUGAUAUGUGACGCAGCAUGUUUAGAUUAGACCUAUUUGUUUGAAUUCACCAAAAAUAAUAAAUAUUACUGCCAAGGGAACAAUCAAACUACUACAGGUAGGGGAGAGUGAAUAUAUCAGCAUAGAGUUCAUUUGGACAAUAAUGAUCCAUAAGCAUAUUGCAUUCUGUAAUGUAUGAAAUAACAUUCACCCACAGCGAAUACAAAUCAGACGUGUUCUAUUUUCUCCCUCUGUCCUUCCCUCCCACAUCCUGAUGAGGUUUAGAUCGUCAUGUUAUCCAGCCCUUAAACUGUUUAGCAUUUUAAUAACACCUCGCAAACUCAGGGCCUAAUUACCUUUGUUACACAUGCAUCAAAUAGAGUCCUCCUGUCACCACAUAUCUGAGCCACCUGAAGAUGCUUUGUUACUGGUGGGUUUCCAACAGAUUACAGGGAGAUUGGUUAAGUAAGUCAACCUAAAUAAGGAUGGUGGGAACAUCCUCAUACUACAGCACAUCAUUCUCUUUGCCUAUAUUACAGGAGGGGAGGAUAUAUUGGUAUCAUCAGAGUAAUUGAUUAGCACACAUACUGUAUGUGUCGUUUUAUCACCUUGAAUGGUGAGAGAAUAGAGAGCUUUGAAACUAUUGAAUUAAGUAUUAAAAUACCAGGUGAAAAAUGCUCCGUUAGAAAAUCACUGAGAAUUUAGGUAUUUUAUGAAUUCUCACAUGGAAGAUUUGGCUCAAACUGCACUUUUCUGUCUCUGUCAUGCCUGUGGUCUGCAUGGAUAAUGAGCUGAGAGAAGCAGUAGUAGCAGCACAUCGUUUAGGGCUACAGCCAAGCUGUCCCUCACCUGAGAAACCCCCUAGUUGUACAUGAGUGCACUCUCCACAAUAAAGAUCAGCCUGACAUCAACAUAGUGUUGACAAAGUAGACAUGGAACUAAAUCAACAUAACAUAGAUACUGUACAUGUAUGUAAUUAAGCAUGACGUUUCUGAGGAUUGUUAAUCUAGAAAAGAUGCAGAACAUUAACUCUGAAAGGGGAGGGAGAGAAGAGAGGGGGAUGACUGGGUGGAUAUAGAGGAGAGACAGUAGGAGGGAUGGUGAGAUGAAUCCAUCUAUGAAUUCAAAUAUUAAUCUACCCAAUAAGGAGAUCAAAGUGUCUCUCACCCAGAUGUACACACAGACAUGCACGUAUACACACCUACACACAAAAACACACACACGCUCACACCCACUCCUCUAUCCACAUGAAGUGGUCAGGGCAUCACAGUGAUCUAGUUACAAGGACAUUGAGAGAAGCCAUUUCUUUCCUCUAGAGACUGUAACAUUGAUGAGGUCUCCAACAAGAAGUGACCAGUCUAUCCUCAGGGGGAUACUACUGACAACACAUUGAAAAUGGGUGUGGUUAUAUCCUGCCUGUUUGGCCCUGUCCGGGGGUAUUGUCGGAUGGGGCCACAUUGCCUCCCGACCCCUCCUGUCUCAGCCUCCAGUAUUUAUGCUGCUGUAGAGUAUGUGUCGGGGGGCUAGGGUCAGUCUGUUAUAUCUGGAGUAUUUCUCCUGUGUUAUCCGGCGUCCUGUGUGAAUUUAAGUAUGCUCUCUCUAAUUAUCUUUCUUUCUUUCUUUCUCUUGGAGGACCUGAGCCCUAGGACCAUGCCUAGCCUGGCCUGGCCUGAUGACUCCUUGCUGUCCCCAGUCCACCUGGCCGUGCUUCUGCUCCAGUUUAAACUUUUAAACUUUUUUUUGGCGAUUGACUAGGCAGAGGGGGGGGUCGGAUUAACUACACACAGAGCCUGAGUGCGGCUGGGGCAGAAUGGAUUACCGUGAUUAAUGGACAGUCCAGCAUGCAUCAGCUAUGUAGACAAGUGAUCAGUGUCCAGGGGGCAGCGGUGGAUGGGGCAGGGAAGCUGGACUGGCGAGUGUUAUCCAGGUUAGAAAACUAACAAUGACUAAAUAGCUUGUAGCCAGUUAGCUGGUUAGCUUCUGGAGGUUCUUGAGUGUGUUCUAAAAAUUAAAAAAUAAUAGCGGUUCCGUAUCACAUUGGGUGAGGCAGGUUACUGGAAGGUAUAAACAAAUAAAAAAUCGAAAAGGGAUAGAAAGUAAAUAUGGGUUCAGUGAGUGUUUGGGACGCGGCGAUUCAGACGGUUAGCAGGCCUGUGCUAACAAGCUAACAGUUAGUAGGCCGGUGCUAAACACGGUAGCAGUUAGCGGACCGGGCUAAACAAGCUAGCAGUUAGCAGGCCGAAUUUGCAAGCAAGGAGAUAGCAAGGGCUAGCCUUUGGGGGACGUCGCGAUGGGGUGAGUCUGUGUAUUCCUCUUCAUGCGGUGACAUCGAUGGACCGGUCGUGGGUCCGGAUAUUGUAGCCCAGGAGCUCAAAAUGUUCCGUUUGCGGUGCGAAUCCGGGGAUGAAAAAUAAAAAUAAAAAAAAUAGUUCCGUUAUGCUCUGGUUAGAGUCGCGUUGUUCGAACUGGCGAGAGCUUUCCGAGCUAAAGGUUAGCUGAUGACCGGUUAGCUGAAGACCGCUAGCAAUGUUUUGCUGACUGAAUAGCUGGUAGUUAGUUGGCUAGCUUCAGUUGAGGGGUACCAGAUCCGAAGUAAAUAUAAAUACUUUAGGAAAAAUAGCUACGUUGGAUGAGGCGGGUUGCAGGAGAGUAUUUAGAAGAAGUUGAGGUUCAGCAAAAUGUUUUAAAAGAUAUGCGAAGAAAAAAACGAAAACAAACGAUAUAUACAAGGGACACAACAACACGUCCUACUGCUACGCCAUCUUGGGAAGAAAGGAUUAAAGUGUGCCUGUUCACUACACUCUGCUCUCCUGCACCUGACUUUGCCUCCCGUACACACCUUUGACAGUCAUCUAUGAACAUUUGAAUAUCUUGGCUAUGUUCUGUUACAAUCUCCACCCGGCACAGCCAGAAGAGUACUGGCCUCCCCUCAUAGCCUGGUUCAUCUCUAGGUUUCUUCCUAGGUUCUGGCCUUUCUAGGGAGUUUUUCCUAGCCAUCGUGCUUCUACACCUGCAUUGCUUGCUGUUUGGGGGUUUAGGCUGGGUAUCGUUACAGCACUUUGAGAUAUCAGCAGAUGUAAGAAGGGCUUCAUAAAUACAUUUGAUUUGAUUUAUAAAUACAUUUGAUUUGACAGACAGGCUCUAUUAUGGUGGGUCAGCUGCUGUUUUUGCUGGCCCUGUCUUUACCCUGCUCAUAGGACAUGAUGGACAGUGUGUGUGUGUACGUGUCUUCAGUAAUGUGUGUGUGCAUGCGUUCUUAGAAAUGCAUGCGUGGUUGCAAACACAUAAAUGUGUGUGUGUGGUGUGUGAUUGUGCGUGCAUACCUGCAAACCUAUCGUUAGUGGUCUGAGUGAAAUGGAUAAACUACUGUGAUACAUCCAGGUGCCUCCAGAGGUGUUCGCCUAUCAUGUUCUGUGAGCUUUUAUCACUAUUCACCUCUGCUGAUGACACACAGAGUAAUUAUCAGGCUGACAUGUAGCACUUAAAAGCUGACACUAACAGGUGCUGAGCCAGGGAGGCUUGCUGUCUCUAAUGCUACAUGUGGCGGCGAUCUGCUUUUAAUAGUGCAAACAUAGAGGAGGUAUGAAUAUACAUGUUGCCAUGACUCUUGCCCAUUGUGCUGCAUGUAUUCACUGAGUCGAGUCUUGGACUACAACAACAUUGUAUUCUGAUUGCCAACAGUAGUAGUCUGUUGAAUGUGGCACUUGAUAAUCAACUGUAUAACCAUACUCAUUGUGGAGUGAUUGACCUGUGCUCAGCCACUCUCUCCUUGCAACAUGAUGCAGGCAAAUUAUGAGAAAAUCAACUGCUGCAAUAGGGUGAAGGCAGAGGCUGAAUAUGAGUACAGGCAGAGAGAGAGAGAGGUAGAGAGAAGGAAAGAGAGAGACAGACAUACAGUGGUAGGACCUUAAUUUGAUCCAGCAGGAAAAUACAGACAUACAGGCAGACUAGGUCCAUAGAAAUAGGCCGUUCCAGUGUUCUGGGUGGAUAUGUAGAUAGGUAACUAACUUGAUGAUGUCACAAUGCCCCUUUACCAGGAAUGGAGCACUAGUUGUUAUA
rnacentral:lncRNA from 1 species